rnacentral:misc_RNA from 1 species
AAAAAAAAAAGGAUCAAUCAAAAUGCAAUCCUGUUAAAAAAUGAAAGGAAAGCCAAGCCAAGAACCAAGCAAAAAAGGAAGAGUACAUCAAACUGCCUCACUCAUAUUUUCCUUCAUAAAAUGAAAAGCAGUUCACUUAUGUCAUUACCAGUUCCUUAAGAUGUUGAAAAGAAACAAUUUGAAAAAAGUUGUUUAGUUGUUUUGG